UGGCUCAGGACGAACGCUGGCGGCGUGCCUAAUACAUGCAAGUCGAGCGGACAGAUGGGAGCUUGCUCCCUGAUGUUAGCGGCGGACGGGUGAGUAACACGUGGGUAACCUGCCUGUAAGACUGGGAUAACUCCGGGAAACCGGGGCUAAUACCGGAUGGUUGUUUGAACCGCAUGGUUCAGACAUAAAAGGUGGCUUCGGCUACCACUUACAGAUGGACCCGCGGCGCAUUAGCUAGUUGGUGAGGUAACGGCUCACCAAGGCGACGAUGCGUAGCCGACCUGAGAGGGUGAUCGGCCACACUGGGACUGAGACACGGCCCAGACUCCUACGGGAGGCAGCAGUAGGGAAUCUUCCGCAAUGGACGAAAGUCUGACGGAGCAACGCCGCGUGAGUGAUGAAGGUUUUCGGAUCGUAAAGCUCUGUUGUUAGGGAAGAACAAGUGCCGUUCAAAUAGGGCGGCACCUUGACGGUACCUAACCAGAAAGCCACGGCUAACUACGUGCCAGCAGCCGCGGUAAUACGUAGGUGGCAAGCGUUGUCCGGAAUUAUUGGGCGUAAAGGGCUCGCAGGCGGUUUCUUAAGUCUGAUGUGAAAGCCCCCGGCUCAACCGGGGAGGGUCAUUGGAAACUGGGGAACUUGAGUGCAGAAGAGGAGAGUGGAAUUCCACGUGUAGCGGUGAAAUGCGUAGAGAUGUGGAGGAACACCAGUGGCGAAGGCGACUCUCUGGUCUGUAACUGACGCUGAGGAGCGAAAGCGUGGGGAGCGAACAGGAUUAGAUACCCUGGUAGUCCACGCCGUAAACGAUGAGUGCUAAGUGUUAGGGGGUUUCCGCCCCUUAGUGCUGCAGCUAACGCAUUAAGCACUCCGCCUGGGGAGUACGGUCGCAAGACUGAAACUCAAAGGAAUUGACGGGGGCCCGCACAAGCGGUGGAGCAUGUGGUUUAAUUCGAAGCAACGCGAAGAACCUUACCAGGUCUUGACAUCCUCUGACAAUCCUAGAGAUAGGACGUCCCCUUCGGGGGCAGAGUGACAGGUGGUGCAUGGUUGUCGUCAGCUCGUGUCGUGAGAUGUUGGGUUAAGUCCCGCAACGAGCGCAACCCUUGAUCUUAGUUGCCAGCAUUCAGUUGGGCACUCUAAGGUGACUGCCGGUGACAAACCGGAGGAAGGUGGGGAUGACGUCAAAUCAUCAUGCCCCUUAUGACCUGGGCUACACACGUGCUACAAUGGACAGAACAAAGGGCAGCGAAACCGCGAGGUUAAGCCAAUCCCACAAAUCUGUUCUCAGUUCGGAUCGCAGUCUGCAACUCGACUGCGUGAAGCUGGAAUCGCUAGUAAUCGCGGAUCAGCAUGCCGCGGUGAAUACGUU
rnacentral:rRNA from 1 species